rnacentral:rRNA from 2 species
AGCAGCCGCGGUAAUUCCAGCUCCAAUAGCGUAUAUUAAAGUUGCUGCAGUUAAAAAGCUCGUAGUUGAAUUUCGGGACCAAUAUGUCGGUCGUGCCUCGGUACGUACUGGCAUCGUUGGUUUCUCCCUUCUGACGAACCAUGAUGUCAUUUAUUUGGUGUCGUGGGGAAUCAGGACUGUUACUUUGAAAAAUUAGAGUGUUUAAAGCAGGCUCACGCUUGAAUACAUUAGCAUGGAAUAAUGAAAUAGGACGUUUGAUUCUAUUUUGUUGGUUUCUAGGAUCGACGUAAUGAUUAAUAGGGAUAGUUGGGGGCAUUAGUAUUCAAUUGUCAGAGGUGAAAUUCUUGGAUUUAUUGAAGACUAACUACUGCGAAAGCAUUUGCCAAGGAUGUUUUCAUUAAUCAAGAACGAAAGUUAGGGGAUCGAAGACGAUCAGAUACCGUCGUAGUC